UGCCCGGCUUAGUUUGU
rnacentral:sRNA from 1 species